rnacentral:pre_miRNA from 1 species
AGUGGAAUUGCUGGGUCAUAUGGUAACUACAUGUUUAACAUUUUGAGAAACUGCUAAACUCUUUUCCAAAGUGGCUGUACCAUCUUACAUUCUUCCCAGCAAU